CCUACGGGAGGCAGCAGUAAGGAAUAUUGGUCAAUGGACGAAAGUCUGAACCAGCCAUGCCGCGUGAAGGAUGAAGGCCCUCUGGGUUGUAAACUUCUUUUAUAGGGGACGAAAAAAGGGCAUUCUUGCUCACUUGACGGUACCCUAGGAAUAAGCACCGGCUAACUCCGUGCCAGCAGCCGCGGUAAUACGGAGGGUGCAAGCGUUAUCCGGAUUUACUGGGUUUAAAGGGUGCGUAGGUGGGUUGGUAAGUCAGCGGUGAAAUCUUCGAGCUUAACUCGGAAACUGCCAUUGAUACUAUCAAUCUUGAAUCAUCUAGAGGUAAGCGGAAUAUGUCAUGUAGCGGUGAAAUGCUUAGAUAUGACAUAGAACACCAAUUGCGAAGGCAGCUUACUAUGGAUGUAUUGACACUGAGGCACGAAAGCGUGGGGAUCAAACAGGAUUAGAUACCCUGGUAGUCCACGCCCUAAACUAUGGAUACUCGACAUUUGCGAUAUACUGUAAGUGUCUGNGNGAAGANAUAUAUCCACCNCGGAGAGANCGCGAGAUAGAACGUACAAUAGAGUUAGUACGGACGUGAGACGUUGCCGACGGACGACGACGAGGGAGGAGG
rnacentral:rRNA from 1 species